rnacentral:rRNA from 2 species
GGGUUGUGAGGUUAAGCGACUAAGCGUACACGGUGGAUGCCCUGGCAGUCAGAGGCGAUGAAGGGCGUGCUAAUCUGCGAUAAGCGCCGGUAAGGUGAUAUGAACCGUUAUAACCGGCGAUACCCGAAUGGGGAAACCCAGUGUGACUCGUCACACUAUCAUUAACUGAAUCCAUAGGUUAAUGAGGCGAACCGGGGGAACUGAAACAUCUAAGUACCCCG